rnacentral:lncRNA from 1 species
GCUCAGCCAUCACGGUGAGCUAUUCAGACACCCGCCAAGUUCGGGGCAACCUAAACUCAGAAUUAGUAUUAGAAAUAUUGUAUUACCUUUGCUGAUCUUCGUCAGAAUGCACUCCCAGGACUGCUACUUCCACAAGAAAUGUUGUUUUUGUUCCAAAUAAUCCAUAUUUAUGUCCAAAUACCUCCGUUUUGUUCGUGUGUUCAGAGCACUAUCGAAAGGGUAACGCGCGAGCGCGGAACGAGAGACGAAAAGUCAAAAUGUUCCAUUACCGUACUUAGAAGCAUGUCAAACGCUGUUUAAAAUCAAUCUUUAUGGUAUUUUUAACGUAUAAUAAUAAUUAAUAGCAUAUUCAUUCAAGAAGAAAAAGAAGGAGGGGCGUGCUCGUGGGACCGAGCAUAUCCAAUCCCUUUGUUGCCAGGCAGACCACUCAGUAACUGAGCUCCUAUUAUCUGCCCAGUGACAGGAGAAGGCUCAAUCCACUUUCUGAAGGCUUUAGACAGCCAAUGGAAGCCUUAGGAAGUGCAACAUCACCCCACAGACACUGGAGCUUUGAUAGAGAAUCAAAAGCAGAACUACAAUUCUCAGACAUUUCACUUCCUGCUUGGAUUUUUCUCAGGUUUUUGCCUGCCAUAUGAGUUCUGUUAUACUCACAGACACCAUUCAAACAGUUUUAGAAACUUCAGAGUGUUUUCUAUCCAAAUCUACUAAUGAUAUGCAUAUUCUAGUUUCUGGGCCAGAGUAGAAACCUGAUCAAAUUGGGUACGUUUUUCAUCCGGCCGUGAAAAUACUGCCCCCUAGCCCAGACAGGUUAAGGAAAGAAAUUCCACAAAUGAACUUUUAACAAGUCACACCUGUUCAUUGAAAUGCAUUCCAGGUGACUACCUCAUGAAGCUGGUUGAGAGAAUGUCAAGAAUGUGCAAAGCUGUCAUCAUGGCAAAGGCUGGCUACUUUGAAGAAUCUCAAAUAUACAAUAUAUUUUGAUUUGUUUAACACUUUUUUGGUUACGACAUGAUUCCAUAUGCGUUAUUUCAUAGAUUUGAUGUCUUCACUAUUAUUCUACAAUGUAGAAAAUAGUAAAAAUAAAGAAAAACCCUGGAAUGAGUAGGUGUGUCCAAACUUUUGACUGGUACUGUAUGUUCAAACAAGAUAUAUUUUUGUGGUGUUAUUUUCUACUCUUUGUAAUGAAAAAGGAACAAUAUGCAUAGAUGUGCAAUGUUAUUGUCAUUGUGUAUUUGCUUUUGCCUGAUGAAUGUGGGGACUUUGCAGAUAUAAAACAGUAGAAAUAUGUUACUUCAGGUGACAGGCGGUGGUCCUUUCUGUGUCUAUAACUGCAGCAUGAUACUAUUGCAUUCAACCAAAUUGGCUUAACUGCAUAACAGAAAACAUUGUCAUCCCCAUUUAAGUCUUGUGAUAUUGUUCUAUAGCUGUCAGGGUCCAUGUAAUUCCAUUUAGAUUAAUACACUUUUUGAAUAUUAAUUUUACUCUGUAAUAGAUUUACUUUCAUGCUCUCAACUGCUUGUCAACAGUAUGCUGGUGAAGGCCAUCCCCUUAUGCUAGCGUUGAUUCAUUUUAUUUUCCAUCACAAACCCACCUAAUAUAAUCACACACUUGCACCUCCCAAUUUUAUAAUGUGGCAUUAUUUUGAAACAUUUGUCAUUACUGCCCAUGUUUAUUGUUGUUACUGACUAUUCUAAUGGGUCUACAGGCGGCAUAACAGGGAUGAGGAUUUUUGUGUUACUUUGAUGGGAUAUGUACCUUGGUAAGGAGGAAACCGCUACUCUGCUAAUUAUGGGAUUGUUAGGGAAGGGAGAACUAAAUGCUAGGAGAGGGGUAGAUUUUCGGUGGGCAUUGGUGGAGGAGAUUUUUGGGAAAUAUGUAAAUAGUCCUGAACCUGUACAUACUGUAUGUAUACAGACAUACAGGUAACUACCAAAAUAAUGGAAACACGUGAGUAAAUGAGGGAUACAAAUUAUAUUGAAAGCAGGUGCUUCCACACAGGUGUGGUUCCUGAGUUAAUUAAGCAAUUAACAUCCCAUAAUGCUCAGGGUCAUGUAUAAAAAUGCUUGGCGAGCCAAUAUUUUGGUUACCAGUAUAACAGUAUUACCAGUAUAACAGUGCUCCCAUCCACAGGGCCACGAGUGGUCACUGAAUGGUUUGAUGAGCAUGAAAUGAUGUAAACCAUAUGCCAUGGCCGUCUUAGUCACCACAUCUCAACCCAAUUGAACACUUAUGGGAGAUUGUGGAGCGACGUCUGAGACAGCGCUUUCCACCACCAUCAUCAACAAAACACCAAAUGAUUUAAUUUUCUUGUGGAAGAAUGGCAUCACAUCACUCCAAUAGUUCCAGACACUUGUAGAAUGUGCAUUGAAGCUGUUCUGUCUCGUGUUGGCCCAAUGCCCGAUUAAGACACUUUAUGUUGGUGUUUCCUUUAUUUUGGCAGUUACCUGUAUCUGUCCUCAAUUUAGUGUGUGUAUGAUCAAGUUUUCCUCAGAUCAGGAGGUUGGUUGUAGGAAGAUGAUGCAGCUAUCAAUAUUUACUCACUUUUGCUCAGUCACACAGAUAACAAGGACAGACAUGCAAACAAGUCUUUAGUUCCUUUGACGUGUUUUGCACAUGAGGGUGGGCUCUGUCCAACUAUCUUUGUAGGAGUCUUUCUCUCUCUCUCUGUAAGAUAGACACAUUCCCAGACAUGUCUUCUGAACAUGUGCAAGUCAAUAUUAUGGCCUAGAGCAGGGAUCAUCAACUAGAUUCAGCCGCGGGCCGAUUGUUUCUUGAGUGGAUGGUCGGGGGGCCAGAACAUAAUUACAAAUAAUUUGUAGACUGUAAAUUGACCGCAAGAAGCCCAAAUAUACAUAAUAUUUUACAAAAAAAAGUAUAAUUUCAAACCUUGCUUACAUUUCUAUAUGAUCACGUGUCUCUCUAUUAUGCGUGGAAAUACUUUGGGACAGAUUUCCCAAAUUAAAAUCACUUGGAGCUGAUUUCCUGGUGUUUUUACAAUUUUUUAUGUCCAACAAUGAAAAUGUUGCUCAGAAGACUUGGGGGGCCAAAUAAAACCACCUGUGGGCUGCCAGUAGCGGAACUCUGGUCUAGAAUCUAGACACAUGACUCCUCAGCCUGCAAGUGGGAGGAGCUACAACCCAUGACAGUGUUGCCACUAGUUGAAUUCAGUUUGAUUAGGUGAGUGUGGUGCUCAAUACACUAUACCGCUAUUGCCUAAUCGUGCUGUAUCUUGCCAAUGAAUUUAAAUAAACUAUGAGUAAUGGAAGCCUUUUGUGACAGCGCAUAGAUUUGGCUCUGGAUGCCGAGAUUAUGAAAGCACUUAUGACAAUCAAGUAGCAGCUUUUGGUCACCGUUUUUUUCAAUAAAGAGUUUUACACAAGAUCUCAAAUGUGUCUCUUCUGUCUCAAAUGUUGUGAUGAUGUGUA